rnacentral:misc_RNA from 1 species
GGAAGGAUCAUUAACAAAUCAUUUGUAGCGGUCGGGAGAGAGGGAGACCUUUUUCUCUUGACUUGCUCACAUAAACCCAAACCCGUGCAGUAAUGCCGGGUGCGGUGUGUAGGUGCUGGGGUGGGUGCGAUGGCGCGAGUCUCUAAUGGCGCGAGUCGUCCUAUCCCCCCCUCCCUACGCGGUGAAGGACGCAAGUCUGGAUCCACAUAGACGCUUGUUUUUGUUUGACAGAGUUAUGAAGUAUCAUCUAAAUGAGACAACUUUUAACAAUGGAUCUCUUGGCUCUUGCAACGAUGAAGAACGCAGUGAAAUGCGAAAAGUAAUGCGAUUUGCAUGAAUCUGUGAGUCAUCAAGUCUUUGAACGCACCUUGCACCGUAUGAGCAAUUGUACGGUAUACCUGUUUGAGAAUCGUAAAAUCUCUCCUAACACACCUUGUGUGUGAUAGGGACUUGUCAGUCUGUACCCUCUCUAGUAGGGGUGUACUCUGAUUAAAUGUAGUAGGUUUGGAUCGGGCUGGUGGCCCGAGACACUGUGUGCUAGAGACUAAGCAGUCCUUGGACUCUGUCUUCUCACGGUGCGUCUCGGGUCAUUCCAAAGCUGGCCUGGCUUCCGACCCUUUAACUGCGCCAUUAAUUUGGGCAACCCCCCUCUUUGAUCUCAAAUCAGGUAAGGCUACCCGCUGAACUUAAGCAUAUCAGUAAGCGGAGGAAAAGAAACUAACAAGGAUUCCCCUAGUAACGGCGAGCGAAGCGGGAAGAGUUCAAAUUUAAAAUCUGGGCGGCCUAGCCGCUCCGAAUUGUAAUUUAAAGAGGCGCUAUCUGGGUCUGGCCCGGUGCUCAAGUCCCUUGGAAUAGGGCGUCACAGAGGGUGAGAACCCCGUCUGGGCAUCAGUGUCAGAUCCUCCAUGAGGCGCUUUCUACGAGUCGAGUUGUUUGGGAAUGCAGCUCAAAAUGGGUGGUAAAUUUCAUCUAAGACUAAAUACUGGCAAGAGACCGAUAGCGAACAAGUACCGUGAGGGAAAGAUGAAAAGCACCUUGAAAAGGGAGUUAAAUAGUGCGUGAAAUUGUUAAAAGGGAAACGAUUGAGACCAGUAUUACUGCUGGCCGUUCAGCGUCGCGUUGGGCAACCUGCGUGGCGUGCAUUCGGUCGGUGGUGAGUCAGCGUCAGUUUGGGCUUCCGGAGAGAGGUCAGGGGAAGGUGGGGUUGUCCUUCGGGGCUUCCCUUUAUAGACUCUGGCUGGCACGAGGAGCCUGGACUGAGGUAUUAAGCGGCUGCAGUACUCAUGGUUCGAGCCCGGUUCCCAUGAUUCAAGGACUACACGUAGGCCUUGGUCGCAAGAGCAGGAGGUAGGGCUGUGCAUGCAGUUCUAGGAUGCUGACGAAAUGGUCUUAAACGACCCGUCUUGAAACACGGACCAAGGAGUCUAACACAUGUGCGAGUAUUUGGGUGGCAAACCCGAGUGCGUAAUGAAAGUAAUCCGGGUGAGAGCCUUGCCUCUGAGCUUGGUGCAUCAUCGGCCGAACCUUGACGUCUUCUGAUAGGUUUGAGUAAGAGCAUAUUUGUUGGGACCCGAAAGGUAGUGAACUAUGCCUGGAUAGGAUGAAGCCAGAGGAAACUCUGGUGGAGGUCCGUAGCCGUUCUGACGUGCAAAUCGAUGGUCAAAUCUGGGUAUAGGGGCGAAAGACUAAUCGAACUACCUAGUAGCUGGUUCCCUC